rnacentral:rRNA from 1 species
GAUGAACGCUGGCGGCGUGCCUAAUACAUGCAAGUCGAGCGAACAGACGAGGAGCUUGCUCCUCUGACGUCAGCGGCGGACGGGUGAGUAACACGUGGAUAACCUACCUAUAAGACUGGGAUAACUUCGGGAAACCGGAGCUAAUACCGGAUAAUAUAUUGAACCGCAUGGUUCAAUAGUGAAAGACGGUUUUGCUGUCACUUAUAGAUGGAUCCGCGCCGCAUUAGCUAGUUGGUAAGGUAACGGCUUACCAAGGCAACGAUGCGUAGCCGACCUGAGAGGGUGAUCGGCCACACUGGAGCUGAGACACGGUCCAGACUCCUACGGGAGGCAGCAGUAGGGAAUCUUCCGCAAUGGGCGAAAGCCUGACGGAGCAACGCCGCGUGAGUGAUGAAGGUCUUCGGAUCGUAAAACUCUGUUAUUAGGGAAGAACAAAUGUGUAAGUAACUAUGCACGUCUUGACGGUACCUAAUCAGAAAGCCACGGCUAACUACGUG